AUGAAUAAAUUAUAUGAAUAUAUGAUUUUACCCCAAAAACAUGUCUUUAACCUAGGCACGUAUGAUGGAUAGAUUUUCAGUUCUAAAGAAAGCUCUCUAUUGCCUGUACAAAUCGUAGCUGAGUGAUAUCCACAGGGCACUAAAUGUUGUAACUAACCUUCAUUUCCCUACAUCCGCUAGAUUUUAGCAAUGGUGCCUAAUAAGAGUUAGUUGUGUUUGUUCCCCAACUUGGUGUUGCCUCUUUUCUUGAUGUUAUAAUUUAUAAUUAUGCAUUAAUUAUGUAUCAUAAAAACCUAUGAUAUAUGGCUUUGAACGAUUUUUUUUUUUGGUGAAGGGUUGAAUGCCUUGUGAAGGUUUGAUGAAAGCAAGUCACUUAGAAAUGCUAUCAGAUUAAGUACAGGUAAGGAAACCAUAAGAAAGAGCAUUGCCCUUUAAAGUAAUUAUUUUGUUCAACCUAUUUCACAAUAUGCUGAAAGAGCCUACUAUAUUGCUCAAUAUUUACUUUAUAGAUGCAUUCAACUUUUACCCAAGUUCAAUACCAGAUCCUCAAAGGAUUUAUAGGUAGCAUUUAAGGAAUGAAUCAGCUACUUGGAUACCAGAAGGCCCUGAGAAGAACCAAGCCAGAAUUAAAGAAGAAUGUUUUCGUUAGCCUAAUUACAUAUUUCAAAGGUCAAAUGAUUGUAUUUAAUGUUGUUUAUUGUCAUCAUAAACCUUGUCAUCAUCAACUUAAGGCUUGUAGGUCAUACUGCCCAAACAGACAGACAAGCAGAGAAGUUAGCUGAACUAAAGGAACUGUGAGACUGGAUGUUAAGUACUUAUCUUGCAAUCAUGAAAAUUGGCACAAGUCCAGAAAAUAAUUUGUGUUGCUCCAAAGUGAGAUGGAAAUAUAUUCAACUUUUACAAUAUGUUUUAAGUUUCUGAUGGUAUUAAUGUUGGUUUUUCCUUGUUCAAAGGAAGACGUUUAUAUUUCUGAGAAUUAAAACAUCAAAAGCAGCCAUUAAUGUGAUGUUUCCUUAAAUUCACAAAAGAAGAAUCAAAUAAUGUUUAUAUGAGGGGGUACUGAAAAAUGUGUACAAAGUAUUCUUGGAGCACAAAUGAGAGACUUCAACUCUUUCUCAAACAUCAGUGAUGAUUUUACAGAGAAGACAUUUGUGUUGCAUUAAAAGAAGGAAUUUACAAAGUAGAGAAGAGGUGAAAGCAAGAAGGGUGAUGUGGAAGAGCCAACUGAGGAAGGACAGAGGUCUCAGCGUGGAAGGAGUACAGGAAAUGAUGAAGAUAUAGCGGGUACAUGUGCAGGUUUGUUACAUGGGAAUAUUGCAUGAUGCUGAAGUUUGGAAUAUGUAUCCCAUCACCCAAUUGGUGAGCUUAGUACAUGAUGCUGCACUACUUGUUACCGUGGCCUAUUGUAUAAUUACAUUGGAACCUUUUUGAUACCUAUUCAAGUGAGUAUUUCCCUCUUGUUGCCUGAAAUUUCUUUUCUGCACUAGGUAAAUGAGCCAAUAAAGUAUUUCUUAAAACAUUGCCGUUACCAUGGAAAUAAGGGUUUCACAUUACUCUUGUCUAUGUAUGUUGACUUUAUUUUGGGUCAUGUAGUUGGGAGAUAGCUCUCAGAGUUUCAUGGUAUCCUAAAAGCAUUUUGUGAUUUUAUGGAGAUCUUUUCUUGAACUACUUUUUUAUUGAAAAACAUACUGUUUCCUAGAAGACCGGUGAGAGCAUUUGAAUUAUAAUCCAAAUAUUUUCCUGGCUUUCAUUGAAAUACAGUCUUGACUUAGGAAAAGCUUCUUAUUUUGCUAUACAUUUAGAAAGCAUGCAACAUAUUUUCUAUACAGUCAACACAAUCUUUGAGGCCAUCUGCAGUUUAUAACAAAUUUAUGAUAUAGUAGCUUAAAUUGAUGAGAUAAUGAGCUGCUGACAGACAUGUUUUUCUAAAUUGAUAUUUGAGGAUGGUGCAGCCAAAAUACUUGGCAUGAAAUAGCAAAGGAAAUGAGAGUUGUGUAUCUACAGAACUCAACUCUAUACUGCCACACAAGCUAAAAAGACUUAAAAUCUAAAAUUUUACUAGUACUCUUCAGUUCUAUCCUAUACUCUUUGAUU
rnacentral:lncRNA from 1 species